rnacentral:rRNA from 1 species
GCGGCGUGCUUAACACAUGCAAGUCGAACGGAAAGGCCCUGCUUUUGUGGGGUGCUCGAGUGGCGAACGGGUGAGUAACACGUGAGUAACCUGCCCUUGACUUUGGGAUAACUUCAGGAAACUGGGGCUAAUACCGGAUAGGAGCUCCUGCUGCAUGGUGGGGGUUGGAAAGUUUCGGCGGUUGGGGAUGGACUCGCGGCUUAUCAGCUUGUUGGUGGGGUAGUGGCUUACCAAGGCUUUGACGGGUAGCCGGCCUGAGAGGGUGACCGGCCACAUUGGGACUGAGAUACGGCCCAGACUCCUACGGGAGGCAGCAGUGGGGAAUAUUGCACAAUGGGCGGAAGCCUGAUGCAGCAACGCCGCGUGCGGGAUGACGGCCUUCGGGUUGUAAACCGCUUUCGCCUGUGACGAAGCGUGAGUGACGGUAAUGGGUAAAGAAGCACCGGCUAACUACGUGCCAGCAGCCGCGGUGAUACGUAGGGUGCGAGCGUUGUCCGGAUUUAUUGGGCGUAAAGGGCUCGUAGGUGGUUGAUCGCGUCGGAAGUGUAAUCUUGGGGCUUAACCCUGAGCGUGCUUUCGAUACGGGUUGACUUGAGGAAGGUAGGGGAGAAUGGAAUUCCUGGUGGAGCGGUGGAAUGCGCAGAUAUCAGGAGGAACACCAGUGGCGAAGGCGGUUCUCUGGGCCUUUCCUGACGCUGAGGAGCGAAAGCGUGGGGAGCGAACAGGCUUAGAUACCCUGGUAGUCCACGCUGUAAACGGUGGGUACUAGGUGUGGGGUCCAUUCCACGGGUUCCGUGCCGUAGCUAACGCUUUAAGUACCCCGCCUGGGGAGUACGGCCGCAAGGCUAAAACUCAAAGGAAUUGACGGGGCCCCGCACAAGCGGCGGAGCAUGCGGAUUAAUUCGAUGCAACGCGUAGAACCUUACCUGGGUUUGACAUGGAUCGGGAGUGCUCAGAGAUGGGUGUGCCUCUUUUGGGGUCGGUUCACAGGUGGUGCAUGGCUGUCGUCAGCUCGUGUCGUGAGAUGUUGGGUUAAGUCCCGCAACGAGCGCAACCCUUGUUCACUGUUGCCAGCACGUUAUGGUGGGGACUCAGUGGAGACCGCCGGGGUCAACUCGGAGGAAGGUGGGGAUGACGUCAAGUCAUCAUGCCCCUUAUGUCCAGGGCUUCACGCAUGCUACAAUGGCUGGUACAGAGAGUGGCGAGCCUGUGAGGGUGAGCGAAUCUCGGAAAGCCGGUCUCAGUUCGGAUUGGGGUCUGCAACUCGACCUCAUGAAGUCGGAGUCGCUAGUAAUCGCAGAUCAGCAACGCUGCGGUGAAUACGUUCCCGGGGCUUGUACACACCGCCCGUCAAGUCAUGAAAGUUGGUAACACCCGAAGCCGGUGGCCUAACCGUUGUGGGGGAGCCGUCGAAGGUGGGACUGGUGAUUAGGACUAAAUC